UACGUAGGGAGCAAGCGUUGUUCGGAUUUACUGGGCGUAAAGGGCGCGUAGGCGGCGCGGUAAGUCACUUGUGAAAUCUCUGAGCUUAACUCAGAACGGCCAAGUGAUACUGCAGUGCUAGAGUGCAGAAGGGGCAAUCGGAAUUCUUGGUGUAGCGGUGAAAUGCGUAGAUAUCAAGAGGAACACCCGAGGUGAAGACGGGUUGCUGGGCUGACACUGACGCUGAGGCGCGAAAGCCAGGGGAGCAAACGGG
rnacentral:rRNA from 1 species